rnacentral:rRNA from 1 species
AUUGAACGCUGGCGGCAGGCCUAACACAUGCAAGUCGAGCGGAUGAAGGGAGCUUGCUCCUGUAUUCAGCGGCGGACGGGCGAGUAAUGCCUAGGAAUCUGCCUGGCAGUGGGGGAUAACGUCCGGACACGGGCGCUAAUACCGCAUACGUCCUGAGGGUGAAAGUGGGGGAUCUUCGGACCUCACGCUAUCAGCUGAGCCUAGGUCGGAUUAGCUAGUUGGUGAGGUAAAGGCCUACCAAGGCGACGAUCCGUAACUGAUCUGAGAGGAUGAUCAGUCACACUGGAACUGAGACACGGUCCAGACUCCUACGGGAGGCAGCAGUGGGGAAUAUUGGGCAAUGGGCGAAAGCCUGAUGCAGCCAUGCCGCGUGUGUGAAGAAGGUCUUCGGAUUGUAAAGCACUUUAAGUUGGGAGGAAGGGCAGUAAGUUAAUACCUUGCUGUUUUGACGUUACCAACAGAAUAAGCACCGGCUAACUUCGUG